rfam:Gemmatimonas sp. SM23_52 WORSMTZ_29978, whole genome shotgun sequence.
GCGGGCGUAGCUCAGCUGGUAGAGCGCGAGCUUCCCAAGCUCGAGGUCGCGGGUUCGAGACCCGUCGCCCGCU